rnacentral:sRNA from 1 species
AAUUAGAAGAAGAUAGCUGCUAUCUGAGUGGCUGACGGUCCUGCCUCUCGAGUUGGAGGCAUCCUGACUUAGUUGCUGGGAGCCUAGCCACUUGUGUCCUUCACUAAUCAGAAACUUUUAUAUUUUAAUGGCACUUCACAGAAUCCCCUGAGAAGAAAAGAAAGAGGCAGACCCACCAAAAAAAGGAAACCCCAAAGGUGAAAAGACAAGGACUGAAAACAAACUCCACCCUGGAUUGAGUUAUAGCAUCAAAUACCCUACUGGUGAUAUGGAAGUGCUGGGUAGAGGAGGGCGUGAUCCCUCCCUAGGGCUCCACCCCCACAUACCUAGGUGAGGACAGGCAUUUCCUGCCCAACUGUUGCAUUUCCCAAGACCGCCCUGGCCUGCCACACCCCCAUCUUGUGCCUAUAAAAACCCCCAAGACCCUAGCAGGCAGACCAGAGGCAGGUGGACAUCGAGAGGAGCACACUGACACUGGCACACCUGCAGGCCACCUACUGGCAGAAGCAGAAGGACACAAAUUUGGUAGGGACAGUUAGAGGAGAGUCCAGGCUGCUGAUCAGCCAGACUUCAGGGGAAAACCAUCUCCUUUCUGGCUCCCCCAUCUGCUGAGAGCUACUCCCAUUCAGUAAAACCUUGCACUCAUUCUCCAAGCCUCGGUGUGAUCUGAUUCUUCUGGUACAU